rnacentral:lncRNA from 1 species
CGCGGCGCGGACGACCCAGACGCCUCUUGCGUCACGGCGUCCCCGCGCACACUGCGGGCUUGGCCCGUGUCCCGGCGCCUGCGAAUUCUCGCGGGCUGCGGACAGUUGGUGGCCGGCAUGAGCUCUCUGGCCCUCCUUUGAUGGUGUCCUGCGGUGGUGCCCAGUGCUGUCUUCUGGAAACAGUUACCACUUAAACGGAGUGAACACAGCUGGGACCAAUGUGUUAAACACUUCUACUGAGCUUAAACUUCACUAGUAAAAAAAGUUGCUUUAUACUUGUAC